CUAGCUUCAGCGAUGGAUCGGUCGAUCCGCGUAUCGAUGAAAAACGC
rnacentral:rRNA from 1 species